UACGUAGGGUGCUAGCGUUGUCCGGAUUUAUUGGGCGUAAAGGGCUCGUAGGCGGCGUGUCGCGUCGGGCGUGAAAGCCCGCUGCUUAACGGCGGGUUGGCUUUCGGUACGGGCAUCGCUGGAGUGCGGCAGGGGAGACUGGAAUUCCUGGUGUAGCGGUGGAAUGCGCAGAUAUCAGGAGGAACACCGGUGGCGAAGGCGGGUCUCUGGGCCGUUACUGACGCUGAGGAGCGAAAGCGUGGGGAGCGAACAGG
rnacentral:rRNA from 1 species